rnacentral:snoRNA from 1 species
ACCAUAUUACAUUUACAUUUAAGAACGAGUAUUAUUGUAGUAGAUUUGUGACGAAAUAUUUCUAUUUUACCUCCAGGCAAUUCUUACUCUACAACUCAGUUCGAGAUCGAUACACACAUAUGUGCAUAUUGACUCUUUAAGCAUGGCGAUAGAUUUUUUUACUUAGCUGUGCUCCAGACGUCUCAAACAUUC